UUUACCAUAUAAAUAUUAUAUUGGAUUAUUGUUACAUCCUACCAACAGUCUUAAUUUACUACAAUUACUUAUAAAAACUUUGAAUAUUCCCGGUAAAAACAUGCAUCUGAUCGUUUUACAACUCCCAAAUUCGGCUUGGUUGGGUUUGUUUGCAUCCCCUUUUAUACCAGCUUUUUAGAGCAUAUAUAGAGAAACCAGAGACUAUAUCUUCUUCUCCUUUUUUUUUUUCGGGGGAAGGUUAGAGCUAAGGGGUGGGUGAGUUACAGUUUAAUUUUAUGGUUACUAGUUUUGAUAUAAAAACAUAUAUAGGAAAAUUGUAUGUUGAAGGUGCAAAUUAAUUUCCUAUGGUGUCUGAGAAUUUUGCAGUUACUUAUUGAAUACAAUGUGUAUAUUUGUGUGUUGGGAAAACAGGUGGAGUUCUGGAUCUGUGUUUUGCUGACUCUCUUUGGAUGGCUGCCUGGUAUUGUCUAUGCUGUUUGGGUCCUAACCAAGUGAUCCAAUCAUCUUCCUUAAUUCCUUAUGGUGGAUAUGUGAAUUUAGGCCAUUAUCAAGUCUCUUCAUUUCCUUUAUUUCUUUUUUCUUUUGUAUUUUCAAUAGAGAAACUAUUGAAUUGAUAGAGUGUUGAUGAAGCCAUGUAUCAUCGUAUUUCAAUGUCUUCAUUACAUUGGUUGUAAGUCGCUUGGAUUCUAAUGUUCACUUCUAUUAUGUUAUUUUAAUUGGAUAUACUAAUAAUUUCUAUUAUUAUAAUAUUAUGGUUUCUCCUUG